UACGUAGGGUGCAAGCGUUGUCCGGAAUUAUUGGGCGUAAAGAGCUCGUAGGCGGUCUGUUGCGUCGGCUGUGAAAACCCGGGGCUCAACUCCGGGCCUGCAGCCGAUACGGGCAGACUAGAGUUCGGCAGGGGAGACUGGAAUUCCUGGUGUAGCGGUGAAAUGCGCAGAUAUCAGGAGGAACACCGGUGGCGAAGGCGGGUUGCUGGGCCGACACUGACGCUGAUGCGCGAAAGCCAGGGGAGCGAACGGG
rnacentral:rRNA from 1 species